GCCUGGGUGGCUCGAUUGGUUAAGCGUCUGACUUUGGCUCAGGUCAUGAUCUUGCCGUCUGUGAGUUCGAGCCUCGCAUCGGGCU
rnacentral:tRNA from 1 species